GCCUUCGUGGCGUAAUGGUCAGCACACUCGGAGCGUAAUCGAGAGGUCCGAAGUUCGAGUCCUGGCGAGGGCA
rnacentral:tRNA from 1 species